UCAUUUCAACCCUCGAACCCCUCCGGGGGGUCGGCGUUGGGGAUCGGCCCUUUCACGGGGGCCGGCCCCGAAAUACAGUGGCGGUCUCGCCGCAGCCUCUCCUGCGCAGUAGUUUGCACACUCGCAUCGGGAGCGCGGCGCGUCCAA
rnacentral:rRNA from 1 species